CGUGAGACAGUUUGGUCCCUAUCUGCCGUGGGCGUAGGAGAUUUGAGAGGAUCUGUUCCUAGUACGAGAGGACCGGAAUGGACGAACCACUAGUGUUCCUGUUGUCACGCCAGUGGCAUCGCAGGGUAGCUAUGUUCGGAAAGGAUAACCGCUGAAAGCAUCUAAGCGGGAAGCCAACCUCAAGACUAGAUCUCCCUGAAGGUCCGUUGGAGACUACAACGUUGAUAGGCCGGGUGUGUAAGCACAGUAAUGUGUUCAGCUUACCGGUACUAAUUGACCGUUCGGCUUGACCAU
rnacentral:rRNA from 1 species